rnacentral:misc_RNA from 1 species
AGUAAAGCUAGUCCACUAUCAUGUGUUAAAGCAAAUAAAACAUACAUGUACGGUAGUCAAAUACACGUAUUGGUCAAUGUACUUUAAUUAAAGUGUCUAACUUAGUCCUUGAUAAAAGAAACCUGAAAUAGUGUGCAAACAUUGUCAAUUAUUGGUUAGUACAAUGAAUUUAAGUAAAGACCAAACUACAUGAUCAGAAAACAUUAAUGUACUUCAAAAUCAGUAAAUUUACUUGUAUUGAAGUAUAGAAUAUACCGGGUAGUUCAUUUCCAAGUGAUAAUGAAACAUUGUAAUGGACAAUGGAAAUGCGUGAACAGUAUUUAAGAGAUGAAAAACCAUAAUCAGAUUCUAGAGAAUUCAAAAGAAUAGAAUGUACAAAAGGAGACACAAAUGUUUAAUUGUGAUAUUUAUUACAGGGUAAUUGUUGGGUUUAUUAUGAAAAAUUUUAUUACAUGAGAUGCAAUAUUGGGAGCUGCCACACUCCAUUUUUCUACGAGAUUCUGUAGUUACAAACACAGGGUUUAAUAUUUGUGUAGUACUGUAGUUACAAGUAUGUUUUUUAUUAAUUAUGUCCCACCUGGAUAAAGAGAUACAUGAAUGUUUACGAGAUGUCAUACAAUGAAAUGAUAACCCACCUCUACAUUUGACGAUUUAGUUUUGAUGUACUCUGUAGAUGUGGUGUGCGACUGUUGGAAUUAAGGUGUAGUGUGCAACUGAUUCUGUUCUGUAAGGUUGUGAUUACUUGAUUAUUGUAUUAUAAAUGUUCUGUAUUAACAUAAAACGAUAUUAAUGACAUCCAAACCUGUUCACGUUAAUCUAGUCAUUGUUAAGAUAAUCUACAUGUUACUGGUAUUUUAAUAAUUUUUUCCAACCCACCAAUAUUUUAGUACUUAUUGUACUAGUAUACCUUCUUCAACCACUGUUGUUGAUGAAAAACAACUUAAUGAGUUAACCAAGCUUACAGUUCCAUAAUUAUUUUACUUGUUUUCUGUUUUUAUACUCAGCCACAUGUAAAUGUUUUAACUUUGAUAUUUACACGUAAUAUUUUAAUGAGUCACAUUUUUGUUGCAAUUAUUUUUUUUUAACAUGUUAAAAUCUUAUUGUUUGAUAUCAAACUUUUACAGUGAUAGAAAGAAGACUGAUAAUAUUUCUACAAUAACAAGAUAUUGGCAAUGAUGACGCAAUAUUCACCUGUUACUCAUACUGUGAAUGGCAGCAUCACAGAUUUUCUUUUACGAAAAAAAAGUUAUAAAGUAUAUGGAAAUAUUUCUGUACAUUACAUGUAUACUACAGUGAUUAAAAUUAGAACUGUAAAACUAUGUC